rnacentral:rRNA from 1 species
GAUGAACGCUGGCGGCGUGCCUAAUACAUGCAAGUCGAGCGAACAGACGAGGAGCUUGCUCCUCUGACGUUAGCGGCGGACGGGUGAGUAACACGUGGAUAACCUACCUAUAAGACUGGGAUAACUUCGGGAAACCGGAGCUAAUACCGGAUAAUAUAUUGAACCGCAUGGUUCAAUAGUGAAAGACGGUUUUGCUGUCACUUAUAGAUGGAUCCGCGCCGCAUUAGCUAGUUGGUAAGGUAACGGCUUACCAAGGCAACGAUGCGUAGCCGACCUGAGAGGGUGGUCGGCCACACUGGAACGUGGACACGGUCCAGACUCCUACGGGAGGCAGCAGUAGGGAAUCUUCCGCAAUGGGCGAAAGCCUGACGGAGCAACGCCGCGUGAGUGAUGAAGGUCUUCGGAUCGUAAAACUCGGUUAUUAGGGAAGAACAAAUGUGUAAGUAACGAUGCACGUCUUGACGGUACCUAAUCAGAAAGCCACGGCUAACUACGUGC